rnacentral:rRNA from 1 species
AGUGAACGCUGGCGGUAGGCCUAACACAUGCAAAGUCGAACGGCAGCACAGGAGAGCUUGCUCUCUGGGUGGCGAGUGGCGGACGGGUGAGGAAUACAUCGGAAUCUACUUUGUCGUGGGGGAUAACGUAGGGAAACUUACGCUAAUACCGCAUACGACCUACGGGUGAAAGCAGGGGAUCUUCGGACCUUGCGCGAUUGAAUGAGCCGAUGUCGGAUUAGCUAGUUGGCGGGGUAAAGGCCCACCAAGGCGACGAUCCGUAGCUGGUCUGAGAGGAUGAUCAGCCACACUGGAACUGAGACACGGUCCAGACUCCUACGGGAGGCAGCAGUGGGGAAUAUUGGACAAUGGGCGCAAGCCUGAUCCAGCCAUACCGCGUGGGUGAAGAAGGCCUUCGGGUUGUAAAGCCCUUUUGUUGGGAAAGAAAUCCAGCCGGCUAAUACCUGGUUGGGAUGACGGUACCCAAAGAAUAAGCACCGGCUAACUUCGUGCCAGCAGCCGCGGUAAUACGAAGGGUGCAAGCGUUACUCGGAAUUACUGGGCGUAAAGCGUGCGUAGGUGGUUAUUUAAGUCCGUUGUGAAAGCCCUGGGCUCAACCUGGGAACUGCAGUGGAUACUGGAUGACUAGAAUGUGGUAGAGGGUAGCGGAAUUCCUGGUGUAGCAGUGAAAUGCGUAGAGAUCAGGAGGAACAUCCAUGGCGAAGGCAGCUACCUGGACCAACAUUGACACUGAGGCACGAAAGCGUGGGGAGCAAACAGG